AGGUAUGAGUGUGAGCGUGGAUGGUUGUUCGUCUAUGUGUGCCUUGCGUUUGGCUGGCAACCAGUUCAUGGUGUCCCCCGUCUCCUGCCCAAAUACGGCUGGGAUAGCUCUCCAGCAUGCCCCGCGACCCUUGCGAAGAUAAGCGGAUCAGAUGGGUGCAACUCUGCACCAGAGGAUGGUUCGACCAAUGUAUUUUCGUGGAGGAGCGCAGUCUGGCGGAUGUUCAGCGCAGAUGUGUGGUGUUCUCUAACUGCAUUGGAGGAACAUCAUGAGCGCCAUUCAAGCAGAUCUGCUGAAGCACAGUGGAUGAUGAGGAAAAUGCCCUCUCAUGACUGCCGAACCAUCUCGCCUUGAAACAAGGUGUAAAAGACGGCCUGCAGCGACACCUGGUGGUAAACUAACGGAUUAACACAUUGACAUCCACAAGAAUCGGAUACAUCCAUCCAUCAUCCGAAACGUUUACUGUAUUCCUUGAGCUGGAGCUCAGGUUCUUAUCAGAACCAAGAGAUCAUAACAUAUAGCUCUAAAGACUACACUGGCUCUUACACUGUUU